rnacentral:lncRNA from 1 species
AAGCUGCAGAGCUCAGCCUGCCUGCCUCCCCCCCCACCCCGUUAUUGUGAUGUGCUUGAUAAAUGACCUACUCCAGCCCCCUUCUUCUUGGGGAUGCUCAUAGUGUUCCUGGGGAAAGGCUAACCUGAGGAUGUGGAUUAGCAGAGGUGUGUGUGCGUGUGUGUGUGUGUGUGUGUGUUUUCUUGUUGAUGCUUCAGAGCAGACAGACUGGGAAACAGCUUUGCAGAAAGGUUAGGCAGGGUCGAGAAUAAUUAAGCUCACUUAAGUCACUGCGUUCCUUUCUUAGGGCUGCCACAACAAAUUAUCUCCAACUUGGUGGCAUAAAACAACAGAAAUGUGUCCUCACCACACCUCAGGCGAGAAGCCUGAAAUCAAGCUGUUUUCAGGGCCACACUCUCUCCAGAGACUGUCCCUUCCAGCUUCUGGUAGAUCCUGGUAACUCUUGGUAUCCCUCAGCUCGGGGCUGUAUGGCUCCCAUCUUGGUCUUCACAUGACCUUCUCUUGCAUGUUCUCCCUAGUCACUCAUGAAGACGUUUGUCACUGGAUAAACCAGGAUCAGCUCACCUCCAAGAUCCUUGAUGACAUCUGCAGAGACACUUUUCCCCAGUCAGGUCACGAUCACAGAUGCUGGGGGUAGGAGGUAGAUGUAAGUUUUGGGGGCCACCACUCAACCCACUAUGGUCAUAAGCACUUGGUUUUGCACAGAGGACGUGGCUGAAGGCAGGACUGAGGUUCAGAUGGAUCAGAUAGUUUGGAAGAAUCGGGGUGGGGCGGGGGCUGUUAGCUGUGAUCCCUGGGGCAGGGCUGUGGUUCUUGCCAUAAAGCAAGAGUAGGGAGAAGGCUGCCCCUGCUUGUCUCAGGAGCGGCCACCUGAGAGGGAGCCAGCCUGGGUACAGGAGCGACACUUCUCUGACCCCCGGGAAUUUCUAAGGACUGAGUCCUAUGUCUUGGGAAAACUUGUCCCCUGCUCCUGCCAGAGCCCCUCUAGUGGGCGCAGUGACAACAGUCAUAGGUUCUUGCAGCUGAGUGGCAUCUUUGCCUGGCCCAUUGUGGGGGUUGGUCCUAGGCACUGGCCACGUGUCAGGAUGCUGCUUCUCCUGGUGGGGUUCCGAGAAAGCCGGCUGGAAGGAUGAGGGAUUGGGGCCCGGAAUGGGAGGUUAGGCCCCUCCGUUCUGGGGAUGGCCACCCAGUGUCUUCCAAACCACUCAGAAGAGGCUGGGGUGGAGGCUGAGGCUGAGCCUGGGGGCUUGAGCACUUGAAUGGCACCUAGGUCGGCAGAUCUCGAGAGGCUAAGGUGGGCAACCCUAUAGUGUAUUAUCCAGCAGGGACGCUUGUGAGAGUCCAGUUACACUUGUUAACAGGCACUAACCAGGACUGUCCCUGGUAAGUGGGGGGUUCAAGUCGAAGACCCCCCCUCCCCGAGGACUGUGCCAGAGGCAGCACCAUUUACUUCCCUGGCAAAGCUCCUCAUCUGUUUAGGCAGAUGAGGCAGGAACGGGAGGGGUGCCUGGCCACUGUCAGGCCCACUGUCCCUCUCCUGAACUCCAGGCUGUCUCUGGGUCAGCGGCUCCCUGCUCCAGGCUGGUUAGCAUCCCCUUGGAGCUUUUCAGCAGUGCUGCUGCCCGUGCCCCACCCGGAGCAACCAGUUCAGAAUCUCUGUAGU